rnacentral:lncRNA from 1 species
UUGUCUUUACAUUAGCUCAAAAUGCCCAACUUGGACCAAAGAAGUUUUUUUUCCCUGGAAAUUGGAUAUCAUCAGUUGGCCUCCAUAUUAAGAUAUGCUAUUUAGAACACAAAUACCAUGGCUUCAUAAACCAAGGAACGUGCAAAUGCUAUAGCAGUGACCUUAUUUAAUAAGCACACAAGACACUCGUGGCCGAAAAAUGAAAAAGUUCAAACAUGAGAGCCUGAAAGACUACAUCCCUGUCUUGCCAUGGCAAACAAAAAAGGAGUAUCCACAACAUAGUACAUAUCAGAAACUUUAAUUACCUGCAGGUAUAUGUUGGUCAUCUUUAAAGCUACGAAUCAUCUGACAAGAAGCAUCAAGGUUAACAAAAAAAAUUGUGGAGGUGGGGGUAGUGGGGGCACGAGUGUCCCUUCCCACCAACACGUGCCUAAGCUUGAUGGGAUGCUGAUAUGCAUUGUAAGAAACAUUAAAAUGCAAUAAAUGAAUAAGCACAAAAAAUUGUUACCUUUCCUCUUAUUUGAGUAGAACCUUGUAUAAGCUCAAACAGUUUUCAGCCUUUCUUUCUUUUCUUGUACUGGUUACAACUUACUUAAUAUUUUCAAUUCCCCCUAGCUUAAUUAUCCUGAAGUAUCAAUCGAAAUUUCAUUGUGAUAACAACAGCAAUGUAAAAGGUUCCAUCACAAGGAGUAGAUCAAGGACACUAAAUACAGAAGAUUAAUAUCUAGGAUAAAUCUAACAGUUCCAGCUGUCUAUUUCCUGAGAUAACUCUGGCCAUCCAGUGACUUUGAAAGUUAAGCUGGAAAAUGUAGUCCAACUUGUUCACUCACCUAAGGGGACCAGGAAAGCUAAAAACCAAUGGACAAGAUCAGCUUCAUUUCCAUAAUGCCAGAUUUCCAACUCAGUAAUUUUCCUCAUUUAAGCACCUGCAAUG